rnacentral:lncRNA from 1 species
UCACUGGUUAAACAUGUUAUCACUUUCGAAUAUUAUCAGAGUAACAGAGUCACAUAAUGCAGUCAUAAUCUGCAAGGAGUGUGACUUUCAUAUACAGUCUAUGCAGAGAUUCUUUUAACUUGUUUUCACAGUGGAGAAUUACUACCGAUCACCAACAUUACAGCAAUUUUUUUGGGACCGAUUCCAGCAGAGAAUCACAAGCGGUGCCAACUAAAGAUCAACUUCUCUACUGGCUCUAAAUAACCCCUUUUUCUUACAUGCCUUCAGCCCAGUAUCACCGUUUUAGUUUAAGACUACGAUAACACGAUCGUGCUCCAGAUCGCCCUCCAAGAUGGACCAACUCAAAUAGAUUCGGCUUCAUUUCUGGAGAACUGGACAAUACUAAAAUUGUAGGCAGACACAUAAAAAAAAAAAGUUUCCAAUUUUGACGCCAUACCCGAACUCUGUGUCAAUGUAGGCUUGUGGGAAUUCCAUCAACAAUAUUUGAGCCAGACGUUGUAUAACUUUGUAUCAUUUCUAACGUAGCCUCUCCAGGGUGCCAAUUGUAAUCUGUAUGCCGUAGAUAGAAAGGUCUAUUUAGUGAACCGAGACCUCUGCAGACAUCCACUAAAUCGACUGCAUGGAAUUGGUAAUUGAAAAUCAAACUUCAAAUUUGCACCAGAAGAUGAGUUCACUGCACAAGGAGAGACCAAGUCGAAAGUGAGACAGUACCAGAAAGAGGGAACUCUUUGAAUAAGUGUUAUGGAGGAGGAGCAUGCACUCUGAGUAUAGUCCGUAAGUUUAUAAAAGGUCAGCGUAAUUGGAGCCACCACUCAAAGUUCCUCAACUGCUACGAAAGCUUGAUACUAUCAAGUCUAGGAAAAGAAUAACUAGAAGCUCAUUGACAGUGUUUUGGACUUGACUGAAACAUGAGGAC